rnacentral:rRNA from 1 species
GACGAACGCUGGCGGCGUGCUUAACACAUGCAAGUCGAACGCUGAAGCUCAGCUUUUGUUGGGUGGAUGAGUGGCGAACGGGUGAGUAACACGUGAGUAACCUGCCUCCUUCUUUGGGAUAACGCCCGGAAACGGGUGCUAAUACUGGAUAUUCACUGGUCUUCGCAUGGGGGUUGGUGGAAAGGGUUUUUCUGGUGGGGGAUGGGCUCGCGGCCUAUCAGCUUGUUGGUGGGGUGAUGGCCUACCAAGGCUUUGACGGGUAGCCGGCCUGAGAGGGUGACCGGUCACAUUGCGACUGAGAUACGGCCCAGACUCCUGCGGGAGGCCGCAGUGGGGAAUAUUGCACAAUAGGCGCAAGCAUGAUGCAGCGACGCAGCGUGAGGGAUGGAGGCCUUCGGGUUGUGAACCUCUUUGGCUCAUGGUCAAGCCGCAACAAUGGUUGUGGUGAGGGUAGUGGGUAAAGAAGCGCCGGCUAACUACGUG